GACGAACGCUGGCGGCGUGCUUAACACAUGCAAGUCGUACGGUAAGGCCCUUUCGGGGGUACACGAGUGGCGAACGGGUGAGUAACACGUGAGUAACCUGCCCACAACUUUGGGAUAACGCUAGGAAACUGGUGCUAAUACUGGAUAUGUGCUCCUGCUGCAUGGUGGGGGUUGGAAAGCUCCGGCGGUUGUGGAUGGACUCGCGGCCUAUCAGCUUGUUGGUGGGGUAGUGGCCUACCAAGGCGGCGACGGGUAGCCGGCCUGAGAGGGUGACCGGCCACAUUGGGACUGAGAUACGGCCCAGACUCCUACGGGAGGCAGCAGUGGGGAAUAUUGCACAAUGGGCGCCAGCCGGAUGCAGCAACGCCGCGUGCGGGAUGACGGCCUUCGGGUUGUAAACCGCUUUCAGCAGGGACGAAGCUUUUUGUGACGGUACCUGCAGAAGAAGCACCGGCUAACUACGUG
rnacentral:rRNA from 1 species